rnacentral:lncRNA from 1 species
CGCUUGUCAUGACUGUACCACCUGCCUCCGACAAGCGAGUAGCAUUCUGCGAGCAUUCUACUUGGUCUCUGCAAUAUCUUUAAAAUUUGCGUUGUACCUACGGUAUUCCAUGAUCAAAUAGCAAGAUCAGCUGCCUCAUGAAUUAUCCAUCACUUUCUUUUUGAAAAAUGUGGCCGGCUAAGGCGGGUCUACACGUUUAAUAAAAUUCAGUUCAACUUAUUUUGAGCUAAUUGCAUAUUUCUCCAGUUGAAAGAGGACGUAAACCAACAAAGGAUGGUGAGAUUACGCAAGGUUCUAUCGGUACCCCAGAUGGCUGUGGCCUUGACAGUAGGAAUGGUCAGCGGUAUAUACAUCUACAGAUCUCCUUUACAACAGUACAAACUUGAUACAGCAUCAGCAGAUGGCAAGAAGGGGCAGACACAGGAAGUGAGUAAAGGCGAGUUGGCGGAGAAGCCAUCAUCAACAGACUUUUCAACAGACCCGUCAAGAGGUGUACAGGACGUUUCAGAAAAACAGAGAUGAUGAACAGGAAUCUUGAUAAACAAUGCAGUUCAAUGAAUUGAUUGUAUCGGCUGGUGCAAAUUGUCAGUUUCCAUUUAUGGUCCAUACUAAAUCUACUUUUCAUAUGUAAUAAGUUAGCAAUUGUUUUCACAAGUCAUUUGAGUGUAUAGAGACAUGAGCAGAACCAUUUAACAUCAAACCAGUAUUACAUUGAUAAUAAUAGUAGUGUAGUGUAGGCCUAUGUUCCACAAUUUCUGUAUGGUUAUAACUUAUACUCAACUGUGCAUUACAGUCAGUUGUAAAUGGGCAAUUCCAUAAAAUAUGUAUGUUCAUGAAAUUUUCUUUCUCUGAUUUCUUGUUCUUUUGACAGUCUGUAAUGUUUUCAAAGGACCAUGACUUAGUCAGUUAAUGAAGUGAAGUAAGACUUCAGAAAAUAGGGGUCGGACAUACAAAAAGGUUGAUCAUUUUAUGGAAUUGCCCCAACUAUUUGUGGUUUGAAUAUGUCUAUGCUUUAUAUAGUGUAUAAUUGAUUUGUAUCUCUUGUGGUUUUAGGUAACAAAAGUAGUUGCAGCAAACAAUUAUUUCAUGAAAAAGUCUUUAAAAUCAAGGUUAAUUCUCACCAUAUCAUAGAUUUAUCAUCUAGAUCUGGUACAUUGAAUUGAGUUAUUGAAAUAAACUUAUCUUUGUGAAAUUAUGAAAUCUUAGCUGAAAACCUAUAAAUCUAAUGAUCACUAACACUAAAAGGCAUAUAUGUGGGAGUAUGGGACAAUGUAUUAAUAAUUGCUUGGGAAAAUACCAGACAUUUGAUCGAAUUCUGUGCUGAAAUCUCAUCAAUUGCAAAACUUCUUCCAGUCAUUUGGCCCAUAUUUUUGUAUUUAUUCAUACAAACACUUGGGUGGUAAUUUUAUAGGAUUCUGACAUUCUGUUCAAACUCAUUUUGAGAUCACUACCACAACAGGCAUUUAUCUUAAACAUAGGCUGAUUUGAAAUCAUUCAUAUUUCAGAGUUACUCUUUAUACAAUGUGGUAUAACUAAUGCCUUUACAAAGUGUGUGAUGGUAAAGUUUUGGCUUUGACUGGUGAUAGGGUGGAACUGUAGUUUAUGAGGGGAUGUCCAGACUCAAAGCUGUGCACUGUACAUUGCCUGAUUUGAAUGAUUUUAAAGCUAUGAACUCUGCUGAUAUAAAAUUAUCAUUUUGAAUAAUUGUGGUUAUGACAAUUUCCUAUUUCAACAAUGAUGAAGAACUUUAGAAUUAUUUCAAUUUCCAUAAAUUGGCUACUGAUAUCAUUUAAUAUUAAUGUCAUGAUGAAGGGUACUGUUUCAGAGCCACAUAAAUAAUGUUCUAAUCUACAAGAUUUGGAAUGAAUGGAUGUCAAUGCCUUAAUCUUGAUACAUGUAUUUUGAAAGAAAAAUAUUGCAUUGUCCAAAAUGUAAUUUCAGUUAUGGCAAGAUAUAGGGGAGAGUGGGGUAAAUAAGGCCAUCUGUUAGUUUUUAGCUCGCUGCUCAAGAAUGGUAGGGUCAAACGGAUUACUGUUUGUGUAGUACAGCAUUUGAAACAGUUCCUUAGCACAGAUUUUGAGCACAGAGAACAUCUCACAGCCCAAUCCAUAUGGCCAGGAGCACAAACCCAGCAGCACCUCAGAAUCAAAAUUUUGAAAGUAGCAUUGCCACUUUAGAGAGACGAGUACUGUACCUACCCAGUAACGUGUGUUAACUUGGCAUGGUAUUAUUGUGCAUAACAGAACUGUAAAUUUCACCACUUUCCUUCUUUUUUUUCUGACUGGAUGCCCAUGAACUUAACAUGUGCGGUGGGGCAAAUGAGCAAUCAAAUUAUUUUGAAUUACCGGUACAAGUUAAAUUGAUGUAUUGUAUUUCCCAAAAUAUUGAUUGGAUUGUAGCAAGAUCUUGGCAGCAAUUGUAAAGAUGUCAUUUGAUACUUGCAUUAUAAUGCAAGUCAAUUAAAGAUGAUCAAUGAUACAUGAACUUGUAUGUCCAUUUUGACUCCCAAUGUGUACAAAGAUUACCACAAAAUGGUCUCAGUUCAUUGACUCUAACUGACCUUUGACCUUGU